rnacentral:rRNA from 1 species
UUCUUUGGGAGUAAGCCCCGGAAACCGGGGUCGUAAUACCGGAUAUUCUGCUUCUGCCGCAUGGUGGGGGUUGGGAAAGGUUUUUCGGUUGGGGGAGUGGGGCCCCGCGGCCUAUCAGCUUGUUGGUGGGGUGAUGGCCUACCAAGGCUUCGACGGGUAGCCGGCCUGAGAGGGUGACCGGCCACAUUGGGACUGAGAUACGGCCCUUACUCCUACGGGAGGCAGCAGCA